AACGAACGCUGGCGGCAUGCCUUAUACAUGCAAGUCGAACGAGAAAGUCACUUCGGUGGCGAGUACAGUGGCGCACGGGUGAGUAACGCGUAGAUGAUCUACCCUUCAGUCUGGGACAACUCUUGGAAACGGGAGCUAAUACCGGAUAAAACCUUCGGGUUGAAAGAUUUAUCGCUGGGGGAUGAGUCUGCGUACCAUUAGCUUGUUGGUGGGGUAACGGCCUACCAAGGCGACGAUGGUUAGCGGGUCUGAGAGGACGAUCCGCCACACUGGAACUGAGACACGGUCCAGACUCCUACGGGAGGCAGCAGUAGGGAAUAUUGCGCAAUGGGGGCAACCCUGACGCAGCAAUGCCGCGUGAGUGAAGAAGGCCUUCGGGUCGUAAAGCUCUUUUAUGGGGGAAGAUGAUGACGGUACCCCAUGAAUAAGCACCGGCUAACUACG
rnacentral:rRNA from 1 species